rnacentral:rRNA from 1 species
CGGACGGGUGAGUAACGUGUGGGCAACCUGCCCUGCACUGUGGAAUAAUCGUUGGAAACGACGACUAAUACCGCAUACGGUUCUUGGAAGGCAUCUUCUAAGAAAGAAAGGAGUAAUUCGGUAAAAGAUGGGCCCGCAUCUGAUUAGCUAGUUGGUGAGAUAAUAGCCCACCAAGGCAACGAUCAGUAGCCGACCUGAGAGGGUGACCGGCCACAUUGGGACUGAGACACGGCCCAAACUCCUACGGAAGGCAGCAG